AAGUCGUAACAAGGUUUCCGUAGGUGAACCUGCGGAAGGAUCAUUAAAGAGACGUUGCCCUUCGGGGCAUACCUCCCACCCUUUGUUUAUUAUACCUUUGUUGCUUUGGCGGGCCCGUCCUCGGACCACCGGCUUCGGCUGGUCAGUGCCCGCCAGAGGACCUAAAACUCUGUUUGUUCAUAUUGUCUGAGUACUAUAUAAUAGUUAAAACUUUCAACAACGGAUCUCUUGGUUCUG
rnacentral:misc_RNA from 1 species